rnacentral:snoRNA from 1 species
AACCUAUGGCGAGGGCAUCGUGUCAAGAGAUCCUUGUAUCUCUCCAUGCAUCGUACAAUGUCUCUAAAUCCAUCUGCACAAAAGAAGAGAUAUCAUUACGUAAUUU